AGUGUUGUUUUUGGGUAUCAAAGGAAAACCUAGGCAUAGAAUAAAAGACGUAGCGUUAUACGAAAAUUUACAAGGAGAAACGCAACUAACUGUGAUUUGUAAGUUUCUUUUAGUGAAAACUAUCUUGUUUUGAAAAAAUAAACUGAGUGAAUUGAAACAUCUUAGUAGCUCAAGGAAAAGAAAUCAACCGAGAUUUCGUUAGUAGUGGUGAGCGAAAGCGAAUUAGAGUAAAAAUUAAAUAUAAGUUAAAAGUUUGAAAAAGCUUACCAGAGAAGGUUAAAGUCCUGUUAUACUUAUAUUAAAUUUUUAGAUUAGUAAAAAAAAUCAUGUAACUUUUUUUGAAUUUUGGAGAACCAUUCUUCGAACUCUAAAUAUAAUUUUAUGACCAAUAGCAAAAAGUACUGUGAAGGAAAGGUGAAAAGAAUCCUUGGAUGGAAGUGAAAAGAUCUUGAAUUUUGUUACCUACAACUAAUCAAAGUUUUGUUUAUACAAAGUUAUGGUGUGCCUUUUGUAUCAUGCAUUAGCGACUUUAUAAUUGUAGCAAGCUUAAGUCGCUAGACGAAAGCGUAGUUAAAGCAAGUUUAAAUAGAACAAAUUUCAUAGUUACAAUUAUAAGACCCGAAUCUAAGUGAUCUAAUCAUGAGCAAGCUGAAAGUAUGUGAAAGCAUACGGGAAGGCUGAACUCAUAGCUGUUGCAAAAGCUUGAGAAGAUUUGUGAUUAGGAGUGAAAGGCCAAUCAAACUUAGUGAUAGCUGGUUCUUUGCGAAAAAUAUGUAGGUAUUGCGCAAAAUAUUUAUAAUAAGAGGUAGAGCACUUUUUAGACUAAGGAGGUUAAUAGCUUUACUGAAUCUUGAAAAACUUCGAAUGCUUAUUAAAUAAUUUUGUAGUCAGACUUUGGGUGCUAAGGUCCAUAGUCAAGAGGGAAACAGCCCAGAUUACUGGUUAAGGUCCCUAAAAGAUAUUUAAGUGAGAAAGAAAGUAAAAAAGCUUUGAUAAUUAGAAGGUGGGCUUGGAAGCAGCCAUUCUUUAAAAAAUGCGUAACAGCAUACUAAUUGAGAAUAUUAUGUUCAAGCUUCUUUGCGUCGAAAAUUCAGACGGACUAAAAAUAUCUACCGAAACUAUAAACUUUAACAAGUGGUAGCAAAGCGUUUUUAAAGUCAUUGAAAGCAAUUUGUAAAAAUUGCUGAAGAUAAAAAAGUGAGAAUGCUAAUAUUAGUAACGAAAAACAAUGUAAAAAACAUUGUAGCCGAAAAUUUGAGGUUUUCUACAUAAAGUUAAUCUGUGUAGAGUUAGUCGGUCUCUAAGGGUUUAAUACGAAAGUAUAACCCGAUGAGGUUUUUUUAUAAAAACAAGAAAUAAAAUGACAAGUUUAAAUAAAUUAUAGAAUUAGGUGUGGAUCUCUUUAUAAUUAACAAAGCUUCAAGAAAAAUUUUAUAUUAAAUAAUACCGUACUUAGCCGACAAAGGAAAAUAGAUUUAAAGAUCAAGGCUUUUGAGUUAACCAUUCUUAAGGAACUCGGCAAAAUAAUUCUGUAACUUCGGGAGAAAGAAUACCUUUUUAAUUAAAGGUGGCACAAAAAAGGGGAUAGCGACUGUUUACUAAAAACACAAGACUUUGCUAAAUUGUAAAAUGAUGUAUAAGGUUUGAUGCUUGCCCAAUGCUGCAAUGUUAAAUGGAGAUGUUUAUGCAUUGAAAUGAAGCUUCAGUGAAUGGCAGUCGUAACUCUAACGAUUCAAAGGUAGCGAAAUUCCUAGUCAAUUAAUUGUUGACCCGCAUGAAUAGCAUAACGACUUUCCCACUGUCUCAAGAAUGGUCUCAGUGAAAUUAGAGUCUGCGUGAAGAUACGCAGUAGCAAAAGUAAGACGGAAAGACCCUAUAAACCUUUACUAUAGUUUUGCAUUGUUAUGAUUUAUUUUUUGUGUAGUCUAGGUGGAAGCUGUUAAUAAGUCUUAACGCAAGUUAAUUACUGAAGCAAUCGUGAAAUACCACUCUAAAAAUGCAAUCUAACUAAUUUUUUAAAAAGAACGUGUAAAAUGUUUAGUUUAACUGGGGCGGUAGUCUUCAAAAAAGUAACGAAGAUCUACAAAGGUAAGUUCAAAUUCAGUAGAAACGAAUUUUAGGGUAUAAUGGCAUAAACUUGCUUGACUGGAAGAAAUACAAUUCGACCAGGGACAAUUUUUGUCGGUCAUAGUGAUCCGAAAAUUUUCGAUGGAAAAGUUUUCGCUCAAGGAAUAAAAGGUACUUUAGGGAUAACAGGCUAAUGACUCUCAAGAGCUCCUAUCGACAGAGUCUUUUGGCACCUCGAUGUCGACUCUUCACAUCCUAAAGCUGAAGAAGGUUUUAAGGGUUCGGCUGUUCGCCGAUUAAAGUGGAACGUGAGUUGGGUUUAGAACGUUGUAAAACAGUUUGGUCCCUAUCUGCUUUUGCUGUAUGAAAAUUGAAGAGAUUUGCUUUUAGUACGAGAGGACCAAAGCAAGAUAACCUAUUAUUUGUCAGUUGUUUACCAAAAGCAGGCUGAUUAGUUACGUUAUUUUAAUAUAACUACUGAAAGCAUCAAUGUAAGAAGAUAACUCUAAAACAAGUUUUCAUAGAUGAGUACUAGACUAGUACUUUGAUAGGCAAUUUGUUAUAAAUGGUAACAUUAUCGCUAAAUUGUACUAAUCAUUAUUUACAAAAUUAGU
rnacentral:rRNA from 1 species